rnacentral:rRNA from 1 species
GAUGAACGCUGGCGGCGUGCCUAAUACAUGCAAGUCGAGCGAACAGACGAGGAGCUUGCUCCUCUGACGUUAGCGGCGGACGGGUGAGUAACACGUGCAUAACCUACCUAUAAGACUGGGAUAACUUCGUGAAACCGGAGCUAAUACCGCAGAAUAUAUUGAACCGCAUGAUUCAAUAGUUAAAGACGGCUUUGCUGUCACUUAUAGAUGGAUCCGCGCCGCAUUAGCUAGUUGGUAAGGUAACGGCUUACCAAGGCAACGAUGCGUAGCCGACCUGAGAGGGUGAUCGGCCACACUGGAACUGAGACACGGUCCAGACUCCUACGGGAGGCAGCAGUAGGGAAUCUUCCGCAAUGGGCGAAAGCCUGACGGAGCAACGCCGCGUGAGUGAUGAAGGUCUUCGGAUCGUAAAACUCUGUUAUUAGGGAAGAACAACUGUGUAAGUAACUAUGCACGUCUUGACGGUACCUAAUCAGAAAGCCACGGCUAACUACGUG